CUACCAAAAGGUGUUUUUGGGGGAAGGUUUAUAAAUAACCUUUACCAAUUUGAGCUAUUUGGGAGAGUAAAGACCACACUCCACAGUGAGCUGUAUCACUAAACAUAUAGUUCACUACUAUUUUGUGGCCUACAUU
rnacentral:snoRNA from 1 species